CUCUUGGGUGUAGUGUGACCCUUCUCAGCUGCCUCCAGUUUGAACCUCUCGGCCUGAGGUGUCUACCCUUGGCCCAGAGAAUAGUCCAGAGGCCCAGCGAUGUGGUCCACCUUUGAAAGACCGUGAAGUCUCCAAAGCUGACCAGACUGAGCAUCAAGAGAAGAACUUUGAAGUGAAACCCGGAAGCUCAACGGGAAGAAGGAGGGCAAAGGAAAUGAAAACCAGAGAUUUGAGAAGAAAGACCGGAAACUUGGCAGUGCCCUCUCCAAGCCAGGCCAGCAGUUUUAUUGCAGGCCGUCUGCGUUCCAGGUGCGGGGUGGGCAUGACUGUCCUCUGGCGACUGCUCUGCUGUGUCGGAUGAAGUCUCCAGCGUUUACAAAACCAAUCAAAGUGGCAUUAGCAUGUCCACGCAUGUGUGCACACACACACACACACACA
rnacentral:lncRNA from 1 species